rnacentral:rRNA from 1 species
GAUCCUGGCUCGGGAUGAACGCUAGCGACAGGCUUAACACAUGCAAGUCGAGGGGCAUCAUGAGGUAGCAAUACCUUGAUGGCGACCGGCGCACGGGUGAGUAACGCGUAUGCAACCUGCCCGAUACCGGGGUAUAGCCCAUGGAAACGUGGAUUAACACCCCAUAGUACUUUAUCCUGCAUGGGAUGUGAGUUAAAUGUUCAAGGUAUCGGAUGGGCAUGCGUCCUAUUAGUUAGUUGGG